AUGUAUGCCGACGAUGUGGCCAUCUUCGUCAACCACAUCAGAAACGAAGUGGAGGCGCUACGUCUAAUUCUAAGUGCCUUUUGGGAGGCCAUCGGUUUGCGAGUGAACUUCCAAAAGAGCACGAUCUUGCCAAUUAAUGAGGAGCGCUUUGACGUGGAGCAUGCGACGGCACCACUCGGAGCACCAUGUGGCAGCUUCCCAUGCAAAUUCCUAGGGCUUGUGUUGUCUCUUCGCAAGCUGCACAAGAUUGACUUCCAGCCGCUCUUAGACAAACUGCUGGCUCGGCUAGCAUGAUGGAAGCUCAAGAUGUUUGCUGCGGCUGGAAGGCUAGUGCUCGUCAACGCCGUUCUCACCGCCUUCACCACCUACUGGAUGUCAAUACAGGCUCUACCUCCCUGGGUGCGCAGGCAGAUUGACAGACUCAGGAGGGCAUGGCUUUGGCGGUGCCAAGAAGAGUGCCACGGUGGCCAUUGCAAGGUGGCUUGGGCCAGGAUCUACCGUCCAAAGGAGCUGGGCAGGCUCGGGAUCCUCGAUCUCGAGCGGUUCGGGUUGGCGCUACGCCUGCGGUGGCUUUGGCGCGAGCGCACGGCCACCGACAGGCCAUGGAUUGGGCUGCCGGUGCCCUGCGGCCACUUGGAGCGCACCAUUUUUGCGGCGGCGACGCGCGCACGGCUAGGGGAUGGGAGGACCGCUACCUUCUAGUACGAUAGUUGGAUGCAUGGCGAGGAACCAUGCUUGGUUGCCCCGGUGGUUUUU
rnacentral:rRNA from 1 species